rnacentral:lncRNA from 13 species
AGCUACCAAUGUUAUCCUCAUGAUGUCAAGCCACACAAUGGUCGCAUUGGAGUACCUAUUAAUUUUGAGAGAUUCAUAAUUAACAUAGGCUAAGUGAAAUUGUUAUGAUAAGAAUAGGCACUAUCCCUGCUAUAGUGAUAAGACUGUAUUUCGGACAGGCUUGCAGUUAGCCUUUAUCUGCAGUGACACCUCUAUGAAUACUGUGCAGGCUAGACUGCUAGCAAAUAUUUUGCUGUGCCACACUGUUUAUUUUGAAAGGAUAAAUCAUUCAGGGACAGGCAGUGGCACAGAAUAUAAUCAGUUUGUGGCGUGAGCGCAGUGUUGGUUUUUGCUUCAAGUUACUUUGGUAUAGUCAAGCUUUUACAGAUAGUGAGGUAGCUCUGCAACUUUAGCAAACAGUCUGUCACCUGACUUGAUCUUUGGUCUUUGGACUUGAGGGUAAUGGUGCAGCUAACUGGCUAACUAACGUAACACCAAUCAAUGAAUAUGCUCAUACAUAGCAGUUAGCCAGUUCAUGCUGGUGAAGACUAAUUUUAGCGAGAAACCCCGACUGUGUUUUACAUUCUAACAUGCGAUGUUAGUAUGCUUAAACGAUAUCCGUUUUCUCAAAGAGGGCAAUGUUUGUUAACCUGGUAAUUCAAACCUACUGCUAAUGUAAAUAUUCACCUUACCCAAACACCGGUCAUUCUUGUGACGGUGCGUCAGAAUAAAAUUCCCGAAUGGAAACUGGAGCUAGAGUUUAGAGUUCUGGUUGUGAAACACGGAACAAAGAAAUCUGAGACUGAAAAUCCAGAGUGGUGAGGAAUCAAGUGGUAGAAGACUUCACUGACCUCUUAAUAUAACCUCUAUGACUCAAUACUGCUGCAUCUCCUCUCCUGCUCCAGCAGAUGUGGAUCCCCAUGGUGACAGGAGAAGAACACCAGAGACACUGCAGAUGGAUGAGUUACACAUCACAAAGAGGAGGAGACAGAAUGACAGACUGCAGGCGCCAUCUGGGAGCGAGACGUGCAUUACAGGAGCUAUCCAUAUGGUCGGGGCAUCAUGACUUUGCUCAUCUCAUCUCCCGUCAACAUCUCUUCUGCUCAAGUCCUCUCUCAAAUGAUCCACAUACACGUUACUAACAGAAAGACAAAAACAUGCUUGUGUUUAUGUAUUUUUGCAGAGAUUAUACAAAUGUACACGUAACAGUCGGUAUUAGAUUAACAUUUUAAACUCAUGUCUUCAAUACUCUUCAAAUGUACAUUUCCUCAUGAAUCGGGUGCUAUAGAUUGUAUGAAGAGUCUUAAUCUGAUUAUAGUACAUUUAUUAUAAUACAGAAAAUGAUUUGCCACCUCCAUAUCAUCCCCACCCCCAGUCGUUGUUCAGUGUCGGGAGCUGGGGGCUUUUUUAAACCCAUCUGCUGUCUCGCACCUUCUAAUCUGCCCCCCGGAACCCAAUGGCAUCGUACUCCUCAUCCUGUCCCCAUCCUACCCACCCAUCACCCAGUGCAUAAUAUAUUCCCCCUGUAACCAAAUACUACAGCUCACAUUGUAUUAAGCCACAUUGCAUAUGCUUAUAACACACACAGUGAUGUUUACAGACCUGUCAUCUGGAAUGUACUGUAGGCUAGAUGUAAGAUAAGUGUAUCUAUGUAUAUUUAGAAAUAAACAGUGUCAAUAUUAAAUCUCUGUGUGUUUACUAAUUAUGACAAAUUCUUAUUCUACUCAAAAUCAACACUUAUUCGUCGCAAUUACUUUUUUUAUUGUCGUCUGUUUUGUUGAUCAGCUUUCUUUAUGUUUACAAAUGGAAAACAUUCUCUGUCCAGUGAUACUUUUCAAUGUGUAGCUUUGAGAGAGAGAGAGAGCGAGAGAGAGAGGAUGUCCUAUGUUGAAACUCAACCUUGACUGUGUACAUCAGACCUCCAAACAACUGAUGCCCUCUUCCUAUCGUGUGUGUGUGUGUCCACGGACCAGCCGGGAGAGGGUCCUAAUCCCUGUGAUUCCACAGAGUGAGAGGCAGAGGGUAUGAGCUGUUGAACAAGAUAAAGAGGAGAGGGGGGAUGGAGGAGAAGAGAGGAGAAGAUGAGAGAAGGAGAGCAAAGAUUAGGGGAGGAAGGUGUGAUAAGGAGAUUCCGAGUAGAUGCAGAAGCAUGGCGAAAUAAGAAAGUAGAAAGGGGACACAAGGACAGCAAGUGAAUAAGAAAAUCAGAUUGCUUGUGGGAGAUAGAGAGAGGGGAAGAGGACAAAGCUGAAGGCUGUGUGAGAUAGGCUGGCUAUCCCCCCCAUCUCCAUCUCUCCUAAUCUCACUCUGCCUCCUCCAUAUCUCUCUCCAUCUCUCCAUCUUGCCAAAUAGUCAGAAAAUUCACCGCCAGUGUGGUUGUGGUUUAAUUGGCUUUCAGUAUUCAUAAUUAAAACAAUGCCUUGACGUGCAGCUCCUACAUUGUCUUCCAUUAAUUUCAGAUUGCUCUUGUCAUUUGCACAUUACCCCAUGCAAAAGCAAAUUAAAGUGUUUCGUUUUCUCCCUUCACAUUCAGCGUCAUCUUCCCCA